rnacentral:rRNA from 1 species
GAUGAACGCUAGCGAUAGGCCUAACACAUGCAAGUCGAGGGGCAUCACAUGAAGUAGCAAUACGGAUGGUGGCGACCGGCGCACGGGUGAGUAACACGUAUGCAACCUGCCUUCAACAAGGGAAUAACCCGUUGAAAGACGGACUAAUACCCUAUAACACAGGGGUCCCGCAUGGGGAUAUUUGUUAAAGGACAACCGGUUGAAGAUGGGCAUGCGUUCCAUUAGCUAGUUGGCGGGGUAAGGGCCCACCAAGGCAACGAUGGAUAGGGGAACUGAGAGGUUUAUCCCCCACACUGGUACUGAGACACGGACCAGACUCCUACGGGAGGCAGCAGUGAGGAAUAUUGGUCAAUGGACGCAAGUCUGAACCAGCCACGUCGCGUGAAGGAAGACGGCCCUACGGGUUGUAAACUUCUUUUGCAAGGGAAUAAAGUGGGCCACGUGUGGCCUUUUGCAAGUACCUUGCGAAUAAGGAUCGGCUAACUCCGUG